UGUUUAUUAAUUUAAGAUUAUGGAUAUCCUUAAGUGGGAGGCCCCUGGUGCCCCUCCAUCCCCAUGAGGGGGUGGGACGGGGGCCACCAUCCUUGCGGGGCCGCUGGUGAAAUACCACUACUCUUAUCGUAUUUUUCACUGACCUGGUGGGGGAGGGGGGCAAGCCCUGAGGGUCUCACCUGGGGGCGGGGGGCAACCCUAUCAAAUGGUAAUGCAGGUGUCCUAAGGCGAGCUCAGGGAGGACAAAAACCUCCCCUGCAACAGAAGGGCAAAAGCUCGCUUGACCUUGAUUUUCAGUACGAAUACAGACCGUGAAAGCGGGGCCUCACAAUCCUUCUGACCUUUUGGGUUUUAAGCAGGAGGUGUCAGAAAAGUAA
rnacentral:ncRNA from 1 species